rnacentral:lncRNA from 13 species
AGAACAUCUGGUUUUCAUUCUAAGAACUGUAUGCCUAGCUCUAGAUUUUCUUCUACUUUUAAGAUGGAGUCUCGCGCUGUUGCCCAGACUGGAGUGUGGUGAAGUGAUCUUGGCUCACUGAAACCUCCGCCUCCCGAAUUUAAGUGAUUCUCCUGCCUUAGCCUCCCAAGUAGCUGGGAUUAAAGAUGACCACCACCAGACCUGGCUAAUUUUUUUGUAUUUUUAAUAAAGACAAGGUUUCACCAUGUCGGUCAGGCUGGUCUUGAACUCCUUACCUCAGAAAAAAAAGUACAGUAUUCCUGGUCAGGGGACGAAAGGUGCAAUAAAUGGAAUAUGGCAAGGUAAUGAAUGUAUGUUCCUGAAAUUCUGUCAUUGUACCGUCCUUCUAAGUUAAAAAACAAAAAAACAAAACAAAAAAAAAACCCUGAAGAACACUCUUAGACUAUGCUUUGUGGCCAUGAUUUUAACCAAGAUCUCCAGAGGAGAGUACAAAUUAAUCUGCUGGCAUUAGGUAAGAGCUUGGGACAUUGUCACAGAGGAGAAGGCCUCAUGACUUACCCUGAAGCCCAAGAAAGAUGAGUGGGCUUCUCUCUGUAUCUCUGCUACUGGGUAAUACUUUACCAACUGGUUUUUAUCU